rnacentral:tRNA from 1 species
GCCUGGGUGGCUCAGUCGGUUGAGUGUCCGACUUCGGCUCAGGUCAUGAUCUCACAGUUCGUGGGUUCGAGCCCUGCAUCAGGCU